CAACGUUGAUCAAGCCGGGGUGGAGAGUGAGACAGCAGGUUUGAAAAGAGCCAGCCUUCAGGGACGGGGGACUGAGAAACUCCAAACAGAACCAAGUCUGCCCGGAGGUCACUCUCUGAUUAGCGGAGGAAUGAAGCCCAGAAAAAAAUAUUCCAAAGUGCCUUCCAAGACUGAACCAAUGAUAUCUGAGGGCUGCCCACCAAGGUCUCCUCUGCCCCACCAAUGGGGCUGGGCCUAUCAAUUCUCCAAAUGCUCCUCAACUCCAUCUCCGUGGAAGAUUUUCUGGAGACGUUCAGGAUCCUGUUCAGACAUCAUAAACUAAACUCCUAAAGAGCAACUGAUGACCUAGAACAAGGAUCAGAGAGCAUAUUCUGGAAAGAACAAGAGAGUAAAUCUUUCUGGCCUUGUGGAUCUGUCACAGAGAUUCAAAUCUGUGGUAGGGGAAAAGCAGCCGCAGUUGGUGUAUAAACGUACGGAGUGUUCAAGACUAUGACAUUGCCUUUCUCGGUCCAGAGCACAUAUAUUGAGCCCUGACAAGUGCCAGGUGCUGGGAUGAGCCACUGACGGUGCCGGCACCAUCCCUGCUCUCAUAGCGCCUACAGGUUAGUGGUCAGGUCAAAAGCCACCGCCAGCCAGGGAUACUGAAUGUAGGCGGGGGAAAACACAGGCCUGGGAAUCAGAAUUGCGUCUUUGCUUUGAGCUUGCUGUGUGGCUGAAGGAAAUUUGCCUGGGCUGUCUGAGCUCACCUCAUCUGGAAAAUGAAGCUUUGAAUGAUUAGAGUGGAAAGAGGCAAGAAAUCAAUAAACAUCUGAGAGUAGGUUGGGCUCAGAUGUGGGCACAUCCCAAUUGCCUCAUCUCUGACUCCCUCAGUCCAUCUUCCUUAAACUUUCAAAGCAAAAUUUGCUUCAGGUCUUGGGAUGCCAGCCCUCAACACAUAAGAAGCCCCUCCCUUGCUCCAAGUACAGGAACUCUCUUCCCUAUGCAGGAUUCAAUGGAUCCCCUUUGCUUUUAGAACAAACACUCAAAUCCCCAAGAUGGCUGGCGCUGCCUUGACCUCUCUCUUCCUCUCCAACCUCAUUUCAGAACGCACGUUCUCUUGUUCUCCCUCUGGCACCCUCUUUUAGUUCCUCUUAUGUCUCAUCCUAACACGGGACCUCUGCCUAGAGCAGUUCCUUCUGCCUCGAGCCCUCUUGACGACUCCUUGCCUGGGGGGCAACUGCGACUCACUCUUCAGAGUGCAGUUCCUGCGCUCCUCCCCAGCAAAAGCCCACUCUGACCACGCCGCUCCCACUUCAUGCUCUCAGAGUCCUGUGCCCCUUUCCUGCUGGAUAAAUGUCUAUCUCCUGGGAACUCCAGAAGAAAACCAGGUCUGUUUUGCUCACCAUAGCACCUGGCACUGAGCAAUAACUUCUGCUGACAUUUAUCAGGCACAUCUUCA
rnacentral:lncRNA from 1 species